CGAUGAACUCUUCAGUCUCAGAAAUGUCUUCCUCUCUCAUAGGUCCUCGCUCAGAGAGCUGCUAAAACUUGGGAGAAUGUGAUGUCCUUAUAUAGUAAAAGAUUGAUUAAUGCUACACCACAUCACUCAUGAUAUUUAUCAGUCCAUGGUAUUCAUUGAUAAGGUUUUUGUGUCCUUUAAACGGGAAGGGAAGAAAUGAAAGAAGCAGAAGAGAAGAAACAAGAAACAGAGGAAGAAGAAGAAGAAGAAGAGAUCAGAGUGAGAAACUCUCUCUCUCUCUCUCUCUCUAUUCUUGCUUUCCCCCUUCCUUAGGGUGUAUUUCGAAGUCACAUGAACUGAAAGACCAUGAGUUUGGUGCCUCUAACCCUUCAAACUCAACCUCACAAAAAAUAAAAAUUUUGAGUAGUCAUUGCUAGCU